CCCUUAGAUGUUCUGGGCGGCCCGCGCACUACAAUGGCGUGUGCAGCGAGUGCCGAAGUAGAGUUUUCCGAGGUAUUCUUGCAAUGCUCGUUUUGAUGGGGAUAGACCCUUGCAACUGUUGGUUUUGAACGAGGAAUUCCUUGUAAGCAUGGUUUAUCAUCCGACGCUGAAUGCGUCCCUGCCCUUUGUACACACCGCCCGUCGCUCCUACCGAUUGAUUGAUCCGGUGAAUUACAUAGAAUUUUGCGUUUUACAUGACGGAAGAUGAAGUGUUUUAAACCUUAUCAUUUAGAGGAAGGAGAAGUCGUGACA
rnacentral:rRNA from 1 species